GGAAAAGUGUGAAAAUUCAAGGAAACAAGUGACAAAAGGUGGUGAGCUUUCUGACAAAAGUAAAGAGAUAGUACCCGAAGAUCAAGAAUCAGAGUACUCGAAAUUCGGUUCCCAAAAUAGUUCUAAAGAAGCCCCAUCAUCUCAUUUGGACAAU